AACUGAAGAAGAAAAUCAAACUCAGGCAUUUGGAGCUGCACAGCACAGAGACCAACUGKCUGAACUGAGAAGUCCAGCACCCAUGAAGCCCAAGGCUUCUGCAGAGUUGGAGAUCCAAAUUUUCAAGAUGAAGUUUUGUUGAGGCUGCCUUUACUGCAGUGGAUGACCUGGCUGCAUACCAUGCCUUGCAGAAGCAGAAUGAAAUCACAUCAGAAGUCUGUUAGAAAAGUAAUCUCUUUGAAUCGUAAGUGAAGACUUCAAAGAGGAUCUCUGAAAAUGGAUAUCCAAAACAGCACUUGAGUUGUGAAACCUGGAGAGAGUGGCCUGUCUUGUUAAAAGGUACAGCUGGUGAGCCUGUUUACAGAUGGGAAAGAACUCAGACCUUGUCAACAAAUCUGAGAACGG